rnacentral:rRNA from 1 species
AUGAACGCUGGCGGCGUGCCUAAUACAUGCAAGUCGCGCGAACAGACGAGGAGCUUGCUCCUCUGAUGUUAGCGGCGGACGGGUGAGUAACACGUGGAUAACCUACCUAUAAGACUGGGAUAACUUCGGGAAACCGGAGCUAAUACCGGAUAACAUGUUGAACCGCAUGGUUCAACAGUGAAAGACGGUCUUGCUGUCACUUAUAGAUGGAUCCGCGCCGCAUUAGCUAGUUGGUAAGGUAACGGCUUACCAAGGCAACGAUGCGUAGCCGACCUGAGAGGGUGAUCGGCCACACUGGAACUGAGACACGGUCCAGACUCCUACGGGAGGCAGCAGUAGGGAAUCUUCCGCAAUGGGCGAAAGCCUGACGGAGCAACGCCGCGUGAGUGAAGAAGGUCUUCGGAUCGUAAAACUCUGUUAUUAGGGAAGAACAAAUGUGUAAGUAACUAUGCACGUCUUGACGGUACCUAAUCAGAAAGCCACGGCUAACUACGUG